rnacentral:rRNA from 1 species
GACGAACGCUGGCGGCGUGCCUAACACAUGCAAGUCGAGCGAAGUGAGUACUACGGUACGAACUUAGCGGCGGACGGGUGAGUAACGCGUGGACAAUCUACCCUGUAGACUGGGAUAACACCUCGAAAGGGGUGCUAAUACCGGAUAAUGUCGAGAAGCGGCAUCGCUUUUCGAAGAAAGGAGGAAAUCCGCUAUAGGAGGAGUCCGCGUCCCAUUAGCUAGUUGGUGAGGGUAACGGCCCACCAAGGCGACGAUGGGUAGCCGGCCUGAGAGGGUGAACGGCCACACCGGAACUGAGACACGGUCCAGACUCCUACGGGAGGCAGCAGUGGGGAAUAUUGUGCAAUGGGGGAAACCCUGACACAGCAACGCCGCGUGAGCGAAGAAGGCCUUCGGGUUGUAAAGCUCAAUAGUAUGGGAAGAUAAUGACGGUACCAUACGAAAGCCCCGGCUAACUACGUGCCAGCCGCCGCAGUAA